rnacentral:rRNA from 1 species
GCUAAUACCGCAUACGCCCUACGGGGGAAAGCAGGGGAUCUUCGGACCUUGCGCUAAUAGAUGAGCCUAAGUCGGAUUAGCUAGUUGGUGGGGUAAAGGCCUACCAAGGCGACGAUCUGUAGCGGGUCUGAGAGGAUGAUCCGCCACACUGGGACUGAGACACGGCCCAGACUCCUACGGGAGGCAGCAGUGGGGAAUAUUGGACAAUGGGGGGAACCCUGAUCCAGCCAUGCCGCGUGUGUGAAGAAGGCCUUUUGGUUGUAAAGCACUUUAAGCGAGGAGGAGGCGCUCUAGGAUAAUACCCUAGAUGCGUGGACGUUACUCGCAGAAUAAGCACCGGCUAACUCUGUGCCAGCAGCCGCGGUAAUACAGAGGGUGCGAGCGUUAAUCGGAUUUACUGGGCGUAAAGCGCGCGUAGGUGGCUAAUUAAGUCAAAUGUGAAAUCCCCGAGCUUAACUUGGGAAUUGCAUUCGAUACUGGUUAGCUAGAGUAUGGGAGAGGAUGGUAGAAUUCCAGGUGUAGCGGUGAAAUGCGUAGAGAUCUGGAGGAAUACCGAUGGCGAAGGCAGC